CUCGGUGUCCUGCGGAGGCUCUGGCUCCAGCGUGGGCUCCAGCGCAGGCUGGGCUUCCGGCUGGGCUUCAGCGCUCCGGCCGGGCCCAAGGCGAGGCGGCUUGACCGGGGUGGGCGGUGGCGCUGCAGGGCCUUUCCGGCCCGAAAGGGCCCUUCGGAGGCUCUGUACCUUCUGCAAUCCGGUGCGCCGCAGCCGCUGGGCCCUGGACUCCACCGGCUCCUCGUCCGAGCUCUCUCCAACUUCGGCCUCCAGCUGCUCUGGGCCCAGCUCGGACUGGUCCGCCGGGCCCAAGGGCUCUGGUGCCUUCUGGAAAGCGCUGGCUGGGACUUCACCCUCCUCCUGCAUGUGACGGACACAGCACUGAUCCUGGCAGCUCCUUACCCCCAGCAGCCCGAAACUCACUCCUUAAUUACACAAGGGAAGCCUUUUACCUCCGCAGCCAGAGUCUGGGGGGAAAGGCAGGCGUGGGAAGUUUUAAGGCUCCUGGUCCAGUGAAUCAGAUGUUGAAGUUGUGUGUCUGGAAUACUGAGAGUGCCGGGAAAUGACAGCUUAAUGUUCAGGGUACGUCUUAGUUUGUCUUGGAUCUUGUGACAGGGACAGCUGCAGUAGUCUUGGAGUGAAAGUGUAUCUG
rnacentral:lncRNA from 1 species